UACGAGAAGGCAGCUACCUGGCGACAGGAUGCUAAUCCCAAAAACCUCUCUCAGUUCGGAUUGGAGUCUGCAACCCGACUCCAUGAAGCUGGAUUCGCUAGUAAUCGCGCAUCAGCCACGGCGCGGUGAAUACGUUCCCGGGCCUUGUACACACCGCCCGUCAAGCCAUGGAAGCCGGGGGUGCCUGAAGUGCGCUGCCGCAAGGAGCGCCCUAGGGUAAAACCGGUGACUGGGGCUAAGUCGUAACAAGGUAAC
rnacentral:rRNA from 1 species